GACGAACGCUGGCGGCGUGCUUAACACAUGCAAGUCGAACGGUGAAGCGCCUUCCUUUUUGGUGGGUGAGGAGGAGUGGCGAACGGGUGAGUAACACGUGAGUAACCUGCCCCCUUCUGCUGGAUAACCGCAUGAAAGUGUGGCUAAUACGGGAUAUUCUGGGUCUGUCGCAUGAUGGUUCUGGGAUAGAUAUUGUUUCGGUGGGGGAUGGGCGCGGGUCCUAUCAGCUGGUUGGUGGGGUGAUGGCCUACCAAGGCGGGGACGGGUAGCCGGCCUGAGAGGGUGGACGGACACACUGGGACUGACACACGGACCAGACUCGUGCGGGAGCCGGCGGUGGGGAAUAUUGCACGAUGGGCGCAAGACUGAUGCAGCGACGCCGCGUGAGGGAUGGAGUCCUUCGGGUUGUGAACCUCUUUCGCCAGUGAAGCAGGCCUGCCUCGUUUGUGGGUGGGUUGACGGUAGCUGGAUAAGAAGCGCCGGCUAACUACGUG
rnacentral:rRNA from 1 species